rnacentral:snRNA from 1 species
UUGCUUCAGCAGCACAAAUACUAAAAUUGGAACCAUAUAGAGAAAAUUAGCUUGGCCCCUGCACAAGGAUGACACACAAAUUCGUGAAGUGUUCCAUAUAAAU